GCUGGGAUAGCUCAACUGGUUAGAGUGAGGGUUUGAAAAACCCUAGGUUAUCGGUUCAAUUCCGAUUCCUGGCA
rnacentral:tRNA from 3 species